rnacentral:ncRNA from 3 species
GAUUGAGCCUUGGUAUGGAACCUACCAAGUGAGAACUUUCAAAUUCAGAGAAACCCUGGAAUUAAAAAUGGGCGAUCCUGAGCCAAAUCCUGUUUUAUUAAAACAAACAAGGGUUUCAUAAACCGAGAAUAAAAAAGGAUAGGUGCAGAGACUCAAUGGAAGCUGUUCUAACAAAUGGAGUUGGCUGCAUUGUGUUAGUAAAGGAAUCCUUACAUCGAAACUUCCGAAAGGAUGAAGGAUAAACCUAUAUGCAUACGUAUAGUACUGCAAUACUAUCUCCAAAUGAUUAAUGACGGCUCGAAUCUGUAUUUUUUUAUAUUUAUAUGAAAAACGAAAGAAUUGUUGUGAAUCGAUUAAAAAUUUAAAAAAGAAUCGAAUAUUCAUUGAUCAAAUCAUUCACUCCAUCAUAGUCUGAUAGAUCUUUUUAAGAAUUGAUUAAUCGGACGAGAAUAAAGAUAGAGUCCCAUUAUACAUGUCAAUAUCGACAACAAUGAAAUUUAUAGUAAGAGGAAAAUCCGUCGACUUUAGAAAUCGUGAGGGUUCAAGUCCCUCUAUCCCCAAAACGAAACGGUUGACUCCCUAA